CAGUUGACUAUUUUUUGCGAUGAUGCCUCAUUUCCUCUGCUGAAGGCAGGUGGAAAUAUAUAAAAGGACACACUCCGGACAGAUCUUUACUUGUCGAUUGGAUUUAUUAGCCUGACAAGCUACUUCUUCUGCAAUCAGCCUCGCCUUGUCCUUUGCCAAGAUGUGUGACUGUUACGGUUCCUCAAAUGAGACCACCGUCAUCUGUGUCCCCAACGGUAACCAGGGUUGCUGCCAACCAUGCUGCCAACCAUGCUGCCAGCCAUGUAAAUGUUGCAAGCCCUGCUGCCAACAGAGCUGUUGUGCGCCGAGCUGCCCUCCAUGUUGCCAGUCCAAGAAGUCUUGCUAGACCAUCAAGCAGAUGUGGAACAACAGGAACCAACUAGCGGCUGGAAUAAGACCACCGCUAUGAGCAUCCUUUGGAAGUCGUUGCCCUGGACUCUCUGAGCUCCUCUUUCGUAGAAGCUUUGCAACUUCCUCCUUUCCUAACUUCAAAUUCUUUUCUUCCUCACUUAAAUAACUGAACCAUCUCUUCCAAGGACUUCUGAUACACAAAGAAGGCAUGAUAAAGAUGUAAGACAGAGACUGCGUUCUCCUUCUGCCUGUACUCUUCUGGGUCUUUGAAACUGAACUGUGUUAUCUUAUACUUCAACUGUCGCAUUAAAUACGUUUUCAGAAUUGU